rnacentral:rRNA from 1 species
AGCGAACGCGGAAGAGGCCAAACCGAUGGUGUGUGAUACCCGGCAGGGGUUGCAUCAUCGGGGUCGUGGGGCGUGUCGUCCCGGGUCUGCCGGCCCGGGCGUGUGAGUGCAGGGCGAUAGUCGAACCGGUGUGAGUGCCGGACCGGAGAGGGUGAGAGUCCCGUAGACGAAAUCGUUGCUGCCGCACGGUACGCGUACCCAAGUAGCACGGGGCCCGAGAAAUCCCGUGUGAAUCUGCCAGGACCACCUGGUAAGCCUAAAUACUACCUGAUGACCGAUAGCGGACCAGUACCGUGAGGGAAAGGUGAAAAGUACCCCGGGAGGGGAGUGAAAUAGUACCUGAAACCGUGUGCCUACAAACCGUCGGAGCCCUACAAGGUGACGGCGUGCCUUUUGAAGAAUGAGCCUGCGAGUUAGUGUUACGUCGCGAGGUUAACCCGUGAGGGGUAUCCGUAGCGAAAGCGAGUCUGAACAGGGCGAGUGAGUGGCGUGAUCUAGACCCGAAGCGAAGUGAUCUACCCAUGGCCAGGUUGAAGCGCGUGUAAGAGCGCGUGGAGGACCGAACCCACUUCAGUUGAAAAUGGAGGGGAUGAGCUGUGGGUAGGGGUGAAAGGCCAAUCAAACUUCGUGAUAGCUGGUUCUCCCCGAAAUGCAUUUAGGUGCAGCGUUACGUGUUUCUUGCCGGAGGUAGAGCUACUGGAUGGCCGAUGGGCCCUACAAGGUUACUGACGUCAGCCAAACUCCGAAUGCCGGUAAGUGAGAGCGUAGCAGUGAGACUGUGGGGGAUAAGCUUCAUAGUCGAGAGGGAAACAGCCCAGACCACCAACUAAGGCCCCUAAGCGUGUGCUAAGUGGGAAAGGAUGUGGAGUUGCUUAGACAACCAGGAGGUUGGCUUAGAAGCAGCCACCCUUGAAAGAGUGCGUAAUAGCUCACUGGUCAAGUGAUUCCGCGCCGACAAUGUAGCGGGGCUCAAGUACACCGCCGAAGUUGUGGCAUUGCACCAAUGAUACCCAACCGGUCCUAGAGGCCGGUUCAGGUGGUGCGAUGGGUAGGGGAGCGUCGUGUGGGCAGUGAAGCUGCGGGGUGACCCAGUGGUGGAGCCCACACGAGUGAGAAUGCAGGCAUGAGUAGCGAAUGACGGGUGAGAAACCCGUCCGCCGGAUGAUCAAGGGUUCCAGGGUCAAGCUAAUCUGCCCUGGGUCAGUCGGGACCUAAGGCGAGGCCGACAGGCGUAGUCGAUGGACAACGGGUUGAUAUUCCCGUACCGGCGAAGAACCGCCCCUAUCGAACCGGGGACACUAACCACCCGAACCGGGCCAUGCGGUGACCAUUGGUCGCCGCCGGCACCGGGGAGCGUGGGACCUGAACCGGGGAGGUAAGCGUAUUAACAGGUGUGACGCAGGAAGGUAGCCGAGCCGGGCGAUGGUAGACCCGGUCUAAGCGUGUAGGGCGAUCCGUUGGCAAAUCCGCGGAUCAUGAGCCUGAGACGUGACGGGACCCCCAUUCGUGGGGGGAUUCGGUGAUCCUAUGCUGCCGAGAAAAGCAUCGACGCGAGGUUCCAGCCGCCCGUACCCCAAACCGACACAGGUGAUCAGGUAGAGAAUACUAAGGCGAUCGAGAGAAUCAUGGUUAAGGAACUCGGCAAAAUGCCCCCGUAACUUCGGGAGAAGGGGGGCCCCGACCGUGGACACCACUUGCUGGUGCGAGCGGGUAAGGGCCGCAGAGACCAGGGGGAAGCGACUGUUUAUCAAAAACACAGGUCCGUGCGAAGUCGCAAGACGAUGUAUACGGACUGACUCCUGCCCGGUGCUGGAAGGUUAAGAGGACCUGUUAGCCUCACGGCGAAGCGGAGAAUUUAAGCCCCAGUAAACGGCGGUGGU